rnacentral:rRNA from 1 species
GAUGAACGCUGGCGGCGUGCUUAACACAUGCAAGUCGAACGGAAAGGCCCAAGCUUGCUUGGGUACUCGAGUGGCGAACGGGUGAUUAACACUUGGGUGAUCUGCCCUGCACUUCGGGAUAAUCCUGGGAAACUGGGUCUAAUACCGGAUAGGUCCACAUUUUGGAUGUUGUGGUGGAAAGUUUUUCGGUGUGGGAUGAGCUCGCGGCCUAUCAGCUUGUUGGUGGGGUAAUGGCCUACCAAGGCGUCGACGGGUAGCCGGCCUGAGAGGGUGUACGGCCACAUUGGGACUGAGAUACGGCCCAGACUCCUACGGGAGGCAGCAGUGGGGAAUAUUGCACAAUGGGCGCAAGCCUGAUGCAGCGACGCCGCGUGGGGGAUGACGGCCUUCGGGUUGUAAACUCCUUUCGCUAGGGACGAAGCGCAAGUGACGGUACCUGGAGAAGAAGCACCGGCUAACUACGUG